rnacentral:pre_miRNA from 1 species
UCUUAGAUCAUUUUUCAGUUUUUGGAUACAACACUUUGACUCUUCGUGUUAUUUGAAUAUUUUUCAAUUAAUAUUUUUGUUGUUACUAUAUGAAAAAAAUGAAUAAUACUUUAUACGUGACUAAUUUUUUUAAGUUUUUUAUAUUAUUUUUUAAAUAGGACGAAUGGUCAAACUGGACACAGAAAUCAAAAAAUGAUCUUAUU